CUACGUGCCAGCAGCCGCGGUAAUACGGAGGAUGCGAGCGUUAUCCGGAUUUAUUGGGUUUAAAGGGUGCGUAGGUUGUUCGGUAAGUCAGCGGUGAAACCUGAGCGCUCAACGUUCAGCCUGCCGUUGAAACUGCCGGGCUUGAGUUCAGUGGCGGCAGGCGGAAUUCGUGGUGUAGCGGUGAAAUGCAUAGAUAUCACGAGGAACUCCGAUUGCGAAGGCAGCUUGCCAUACUGCGACUGACACUGAAGCACGAAGGCGUGGGUAUCAAACAGGAUUAGAUACCCUGGUAGUCCACGCAGUAAACGAUGAUUACUAGGAGUUUGCGAUAUACCGUCAAGCUUCCACAGCGAAAGCGUUAAGUAAUCCACCUGGGGAGUACGCCGGCAACGGUGAAACUCAAAGGAAUUGACGGGGGCCCGCACAAGCGGAGGAACAUGUGGUUUAAUUCGAUGAUACGCGAGGAACCUUACCCGGGAUUGAA
rnacentral:rRNA from 1 species